rnacentral:rRNA from 1 species
GAUGAACGCUGGCGGCGUGCCUAAUACAUGCAAGUCGAGCGAAUGGAUUAAGAGCUUGCUCUUAUGAAGUUAGCGGCGGACGGGUGAGUAACACGUGGGUAGCCUGCCCAUAAGACUGGGAUAACCCCGGGAAACCGGGGCUAAUACCGGAUAACAUUUUGAACCGCAUGGUUCGAAAUUGAAAGGCGGCUUCGGCUGUCACUUAUGGGUGGACCCGCGUCGCAUUAGCUAGUUGGUGAGGUAACGGCUCACCAAGGCAACGAUGCGUAGCCGACCUGGGAGGGUGAUCGGCCACACUGGGACUGAGACACGGCCCAGACUCCUACGGGAGGCAGCAGUAGGGAAUCUUCCGCAAUGGACGAAAGUCUGACGGAGCAACGCCGCGUGAGUGAUGAAGGCUUUCGGGUCGUAAAACUCUGUUGUUAGGGAAGAACAAGUGCUAGUUGAAUAAGCUGGCACCUUGACGGUACCUAACCAGAAAGCCACGGCUAACUACGUGCCAGCCGCCGCAGUAA